rnacentral:rRNA from 1 species
GAUGAACGCUGGCGGCGUGCUUAACACAUGCAAGUCGAACGGAAAGGCCCCUGCUUGCAGGGGUACUCGAGUGGCGAACGGGUGAGUAACACGUGGGUGAUCUGCCCUGCACUUCGGGAUAAGCUUGGGAAACUGGGUCUAAUACCGGAUAGGACGAUGGGUUGGAUGCCAUUGUGGAAAGAUUUUUCGGUGUGGGAUGGGCUCGCGGCCUAUCAGCUUGUUGGUGGGGUAGUGGCCUACCAAGGCGUCGACGGGUAGCCGGCCUGAGAGGGUGUACGGCCACAUUGGGACUGAGAUACGGCCCAGACUCCUACGGGAGGCAGCAGUGGGGAAUAUUGCACAAUGGGCGGAAGCCUGAUGCAGCGACGCCGCGUGGGGGAUGACGGCCUUCGGGUUGUAAACUCCUUUCGCUAGGGACGAAGCGCAAGUGACGGUACCUGGUGAAGAAGCACCGGCUAACUACGUG